rnacentral:rRNA from 1 species
CCUACGGGUGGCAGCAGUGGGGAAUAUUGGGCAAUGGAGGCAACUCUGACCCAGCAACGCCGCGUGAAUGAUGAAGGUCUUCGGAUCGUAAAGUUCUGUGAUGGGGGAUGAACACAAUGACGGUACCCUAAUAGCAAGCCACGGCUAACUACGUGCCAGCAGACGCGUUAAUACGUAGGUGGCAAGCGUUAUACGGAAUGACUGGGCGGAAAGGGUGAGUAGGUGGUUUAGAAAGUUGGCGGUGUAAGUCCGGUGCGCAACCUCGGCGCUACCGACAAAACUAUUAGACUGGAGUGCAGGAGAGGAUAGUGGAAGUCCAUGUGUAGCGGUGGAAUGCGUAGAUAUAAGGAGGAACAUCAGGGGCGAAGGCGACUUACUGGACUGUAACUGACGCUGAGGCACGAAAGCGUGGGGAGCAAACAGGAUUAGAUACCCUUGUAGUC